rnacentral:snRNA from 1 species
GAACUUACCUGGCAGGGGAGAUAUAGUGGUCAACAGGUUUUCCCAGGGUGAGGCCUGUCCACUGCACUCUGGGCCGGCUAACCACUGCAAGUUUCCCGCAUGUGGUAAACUCGACUGUACAAUUUUUUGGUAAUGGGGGACUGUGUUUGUGCUCUCCUCUG